CCUACGGGAGGCAGCAGUGGGGAAUAUUGCACAAUGGGGGAAACCCUGAUGCAGCGACGCCGCGUGAGUGAAGAAGUAUUUCGGUAUGUAAAGCUCUAUCAGCAGGGAAGAAAAUGACGGUACCUGACUAAGAAGCCCCGGCUAACUACGUGCCAGCAGCCGCGGUAAUACGUAGGGGGCAAGCGUUAUCCGGAUUUACUGGGUGUAAAGGGAGCGUAGACGGCGGAACAAGUCAGAAGUGAAAACCCGGGACUCAACCCUGGGAGUGCUUUUGAAACUGUUUGGCUGGAGUGCAGGAGAGGUAAGCGGAAUUCCUAGUGUAGCGGUGAAAUGCGUAGAUAUUAGGAGGAACACCAGUGGCGAAGGCGGCUUACUGGACUGUAACUGACGUUGAGGCUCGAAAGCGUGGGGAGCAAACAGGAUUAGAUACCCGAGUAGUC
rnacentral:rRNA from 1 species